rnacentral:rRNA from 1 species
AGAUUGAACGCUGGCGGCAUGCUUUACACAUGCAAGUCGAACGGUAACAGGCCGCAAGGUGCUGACGAGUGGCGAACGGGUGAGUAAUGUAUCGGAACGUGCCCAGUCGUGGGGGAUAACGCAGCGAAAGCUGCGCUAAUACCGCAUACGAUCUAUGGAUGAAAGCGGGGGACCUAAGGCCUCGCGCGAUCGGAGCGACCGAUAUCAGAUUAGGUAGUUGGUGGGGUAAAGGCGUCACCAAGCCAACGAUCUGUAGCUGGUCUGAGAGGACGACCAGCCACACUGGGACUGAGACACGGCCCAGACUCCUACGGGAGGCAGCAGUGGGGAUUUUGGACGAAUGGGCGCAAGCCUAGGAUCCCAGUCCAAUGCCGCGUGCAAGGAA